ACUUCCACCUGGCUUACCUCCUCAGUAAUGUCUCAAGGCUUGUAUUUGCUUGUAGUGUGUUUUGGGUUUCUUGUGUUUAAUACCUAAAUGAUGGCAUUGUAGUGCUUGACUAAUGUCCCUUUUUGUUGUGUGUUGCCUUUGUGAUGCUCGAUGAACGUUGAAGUUGUCUUUAUGUUCCAUUUUGUUGAUGCAAAUGAUGCCAUUGUGUUUCAUUUGUAUUGAUCGUUUGGCCUAUUGAGAUCUGCUUGGUCACUUGAAUACAGAAAAUGAUGUGGCUUUUAAGUUCCUUGGUGAACUUUGUUUUGCCUUUUUGGCUAUUCUCUAAAUGACGGUUCAUGCACGUCUAGGCUUGUACCUGCGUGAUGUUCAAUGUCAAAGAGGAAUGC
rnacentral:misc_RNA from 1 species